AUUGAACGCUGGCGGCAUGCUUUACACAUGCAAGUCGAACGGUAACAGGCCGCAAGGUGCUGACGAGUGGCGAACGGGUGAGUAAUGCAUCGGAACGUGCCCAGUCGUGGGGGAUAACGCAGCGAAAGCUGCGCUAAUACCGCAUACGAUCUAUGGAUGAAAGCGGGGGACCGUAAGGCCUCGCGCGAUUGGAGCGGCCGAUGUCAGAUUAGGUAGUUGGUGGGGUAAAGGCUCACCAAGCCAACGAUCUGUAGCUGGUCUGAGAGGACGACCAGCCACAGUGGGACUGCGACACGGCCCAGACUCCUACGGGAGGCAGCAGUGGGGAAUUUUGGACAAUGGGCGCAAGCCUGAUCCAGCAAUGCCGCGUGCAGGAAGAAGGCCUUCGGGUUGUAAACUGCUUUUGUACGGAACGAAACGGUCCGGGUUAAUACCCUGGGCUAAUGACGGUACCGUAAGAAUAAGCACCGGCUAACUACGUGCCAGCCGCCGCUGUAACAC
rnacentral:rRNA from 1 species